CUCACAUUGUUGCCCAGAGUC
rnacentral:piRNA from 1 species